UCCAAUCUUCUCCACGCGUGUUCCUCUUCUCCCAUAAUCUGCAAAAUAACAUCCCAAAUUAAAAACCAUUCAAUCAGCAAUCAUUUCCUUUUAAUUCAGCAAUUACCGCUUUUCAUUACCAAAAUCACUCAUGCUCAAAAUCGGUUAUCACUACCCUAAUCACACAGCCGCUCCUCACACUUUUCUCUCACACAAAUCAUAAGAACUCUGAUUCUGCAUUUCAUCUCAAGACUCUCACAAGAACCAGGCUGAUCCCUCUAAUCCCUCAUUCGAUUAAGGCGCAUAGUUUUUCUAGCCACACACACUCAAUUCGAUUCCCCUUAUCUCAGUUUCCAGAGAAACCAACAAGGAGACGUCUCAUUUUUUUUUACUCUCUGUUCCAAGUUCUCCAAGAUUGAGCGGCAACGAGCUUGGGGUGGUGUUGAGCUUAAUUUGAAGCCUUAUUGGUUAUUAUUUGAACUCCGAGUGUCGUCAUGUUUUCAUACAUGAUGUCACUCUUUCUCUUUAACGCUUCCGCUGAGAUAAUACUCCCUCCGUUCCAUAAUAGAUGUCACACUUUCAUUUUUAG